rnacentral:lncRNA from 1 species
CUGCAUUUGUAUGUUUUUUAUUAUGUCCUUAAAAUGGUUAGAAAUACUAUUUUAGAGAUAUCUCCGAAGAGUUUUCCUCUACCUCAUAACGGAAAUGUAGAAUGUAAAACAUUGGGCUAUGGCAAUAACUUCAUGAAGCAUGAUACUUGUGAUAGCGGCAGGAGGCAGAAAAAUUCCUCAGCAGAGAGGGGCGGGUCCCUGGUGAAACCCACCUUCAGACUGGAGAGAGCUGAAAGUCUGAAAUCUGGGCUGCCAGUUCCUGGUGGAGUACACUGCCUGGAGUGAGAACUUCUUUGAUGCAGUUUGGCCAAUCUAAUGAUACUUUUUCCAGAUCCGUCCAUGGACCAAUAAGCAAGCACUUGCUCCCACCCUGGACCAGUCAGCACACAGUUCUUCCAUUCUAAGCCUAUAAAAACCCCAGACUCAGCUGGACUCAGAGACACUUUUGAACUACCUGCCUGCAGAUAAGAGCUACCCACUUCAGGUCUACUCUCUGCUGAGAGCUGUUGUGUGACUCUAUAAAGCUUUUCUCUGCUUUGGUCACCCUCCAGUUGUCUGCAUUAUUGCAUUGUUCUUGGACUCCAGACAGGAACUCAGGACCUGCUGAAUUGCAGGCACAAAAAGGGCUGUAACAUGUUCCUGGCCAGCUCACUGAGCUGCAAGCAGUGACACGCUCUUGUUCAUCAGACCGUGGGAGUAAACAGCACAACCCUUCUGGGACCUCAGAUUUCAGUAUUCCCCAAGCCAGAGCCGUAACUCUGUAGCCUUCUCACCCUCUGCUGGCAUUGGGCAGCUGCCUCUUGGGAUGGGAAGCAGUGGCAGGGCUGGGCCUGCCCAGGAGCUGCAGACCAGAGUGGCUGACCAAGCUGUAAUACAAAUGGGCUGAAACAGGCACCGUCCCAUGUUUGCUGUGCCAUGGGCAGCUGGACUGAGAGAGUGGUAACUCAUCCUCCACCCCUUGGGGCCCUGUGGUGGCUGGCAUCUCUAAGUUUUCAGAUGCCACCUUGUUCCCCUUGUUCAGAUGCUGGCGCCUGCAGCAGAAGCUGUUGUGGUACGCCCAGUCCAGCUGCAGCCUUCCAUGCAGCUGGCACCUGAGCCAGCACCUGGAGCUACCCGUUCUGCCACAGCAGCCAGCGCACCUGGCUGUGAGCAGUGGCUGGACCCUGUGCUCACUUGCUUACACAUCCCUCACUACUCCGCACCUGGCUCACCCUCAGUGGACGUGGGAUCUAAGCCAAUAGCGUGAAGCAAGCACAGCCUGUCGGAUGAGUGUUUGGAAACAAGCCCAGUGGGUGCAAGUGAAAUUCAGCCAGAGGUGCUGCUGGCCACAGAGUUUGCCGCUGGUGAAGCAACAGCCAAAGCAUCCAGUGACACUUGCAUACAUUUUGGAUAAAGUAUUCAAAACUAUGUAGGAACUCCAGUUUAGGGGAGUAAUUAUUUAAUAAUUUAAUAAGUGAUAUUUGGCUGAGUAUUUUUAAGGAUAGAAGAGUAAGUUACCAUCAUUUUGGCCUAAGAACAAAUGAGACUUCUAUUUGUUAAAAUAUGGAUCAAGGGAUCUUAGGAGGAUUAUUUGCUUGUUUAUAAGCUGAUUGUUCACAUAUCUUUUCUUACCUGCCUUCAAUGUCUCGUCAGUGUUUGAUUUGAAUUUUGCUACAUUAAACUAGCCUAGAUAACAUUUUCCUGUUUAUAUUAAAGUUCUCCUGGUAUAGACAAAUUUGAUUGAUUGAUAAAUAUAGAUAAAUCUCAUGUCUAGAGAGAGAGAGACAAGAGAGAAGGUUUACUUUAAGGGCCAAAUAAACCACCUUUGACUCAUGCAAUUGAGGGGGCAUGCAAGUUAGAAUCAGGCCAGUAAACUAGAAAUUCUGCCAAGAGUUAAUAUUGCAGUCUCCAGUCUGAACCCUGGAAACUUAGGCAGAAUUUCUAUUUUUGACUCAACAGAGAAUUCCUUUCUUAACAGGGACCUAGAUUUGUUUUUAAGGCUUUCCGUUGUUUGGAUGAGGACCACCACAUUGUGGAAGUAAUCUGCUUUACUCAACAUCUACCAAUUUAAAUGUUAAUUACUUCAAAAAAUACUUUCCCCACAACAUCUAGCUGGGUAUUUUACAAAACAAUUUGGCACCACAGCCUAGGCAAGUUGACACCUAAAAUUAACCAUCACAUUGUUUCAGUUGAGAAAUCAAUAAGUACUUUCAAACAGAAAAAUGAAAAUAAAUGCACAGUCAUGCAUUGCUUAAUGAUGAGAAAUGUGUUGUUAAGCAAUUUUGUCAUUAGGCAAAUAUAGAUUUUACUUACACAAACCUAGAUGGUAUAGCCUAUGACACACUUAGGCUAUAUCUUACAGCCUUUUGUUCCUAGGCUACCAAACUGUACAGUAAGUUACUCAACUGUAUACUGUAGGCAACUGUAACACAAUGGCAAGUAUUGGUAUAUCUAAACAUAGAGAAGGCAUAGUGAAAAUAGAGAAUAUGGCAGGCGUAGUGGUGUGUGCCUAUAAUCCCAGCCACUCUGGAGGUUGAGGUGGGAGUAUUUCUUGAGCCCAGGAAUUUGAAACAAUCCUGGGAAGCAGCAAGACACUAUCUCAAAUAAAAAAUAAAAUAAUUUAAAAAUACAGUAUAAAAUAAAAAAAAAUGGUACACCUUUAUAAAGACUUACCAAGAAUGGAGCUUGCAGGCCUGGAAGUUCCACUGGGUGAGUCACUGGGUGAGUGGUGAGUGAAUGUGAAGGCCUGAGACAUUUCUCUACACUACUCUAGACUUUAUAAACAUUGUAUAAUUAGGCUACAUUAAAUUCUUUUUAGAAAUUUUCUUUCUUGAAUAAAUUAAUCUGAGCUUACUGUAACUUUUUUAUUUUAUAAACUUUUUAAUUCCUUUCAAUUCUUUAACUCUUGUGUAACCACACUUAGCUUAAAACACAAACACGUUGUACAGCUGUAUAAACAUAUUUUCUUUCUUUAUAUCCCUAUUCCAUAAGCUUUUCCUGUUUUUAACAUUUUUAACAUUUUCAACUUUUUGUUAAAAACUAAGACACAAACACACACAUUAGCCUAGGCCCAUGCAGUACCACAAUUAUCAAUAUCGCUGUCUUUCACAUCCGUAUCUUGUGUCACUGGAAGGUCUUCAGGGGGCGUAACACAAAUGGAGCUGUUGCAAGUACCUCUUCUACAGUUACUUUUUUUUUAAAAUAAGUAGAAGGAAUACACUCUAAUAUAAUGAUAAAAAGUACAGUAUAAAAAUAUAUAAACCAGUAACAUGACCAUUUAUUAUCGUUAUCCAGUAAUGUACUGAAGUUAACUAUAUACUUUCUUUUCUAAACUGGCAGUGCAGUAGGUUUGUUUACACCAGCAACGCCACAAACUCGAGUCAUGCCUUACACUAAAAUGUUACAAUGUCUACAGUGUAACUAGGCCAUAGGAAUUUUUCAGCACAAUUAUUAUCUUAUGGGACCACUGCCAUGUAUGUGCUCAGUAGUGCACCAAAAUGUCAUUAUGCUCUAGUCUUUCAUGCACAUAUUUUUCUGUAGAAAGUAGUUGAAGAGAUUAAGCAUAUCAAAAAUUGAUCCCUUAAAUUAAUAUUCAGUUGUGAAAAGCUAGUCCAACAUAUUUUAAUACUGCCUUAGAAUUAAUUAAAAAAAAUCUAUCAGAAUGCCAAAUUGUUUUCAAACAUUUUACCAGAUAAGUUAAAUUUACAUUAUUAAUUAAGUUCUCAGAUAUGAUUUGUUUAGAUGGGGACUAAUAUUUAUUCCUGUAACUUUUGUUUUGUUAUCAAAGGUUCUGGAAUAAUGUGUUUGAUUCUAUUUUUCUCACAUUCAAAGCCCCAUAUUAUAUGGAGAACGAGUCUCUCUAUUUUUUCUUUUUUUUCUUUUUAACUGAUAGGCCUAGGGAAAAGCCUUUUUAAGUUACCCAGUUUUUUAAAAUGGCUUUGAUCCUUGCUUAUCUUCUCUUUGCUUAGUUGUUUUAUAAUAUGUCAUCAUGUGUGAACUUUGUCCAAUAUUUAAUUUUGUAUCAUCGGCAGCUACUCAUAAAUUAUAAACCCAAUUAUCAUUGCUGUCAGUGGUGGCUGAUUUACCUUACGAUAACAAAAACAAUAAUAAAAUAAAAUAAAAAAUUUAACAUACAAUUUGGAGAAUAUUUAUAGAAUACUAACUGAAAUCAACUUUGCAAUUACUGUUUGCCUUUAUUCUCUUAGACUGACUUAUAUAUUUAUGACUAAUUUUCACCAAAUUUUAUUUCUUAGAAAAUGUUUUAAUCCUACUAAAAAUGUAAUCCAGUAUACUUUAAGAAAAUCUAUGCCAAAUGUUCUGUGAGAUUAGCCAAUCUUGUCAUAGAUACUUGUCAAUGUUUUGUACACCAGAGUGAAAUUUACUUCCUGACCCUAGCUAUUCCUUAGGUAAUACACAAAAACAACUGAAUUGACAAUCAUAGUCACCUAAGAUAAUGGAAAAACAGUUGUUUGUCAAGUACUUUUUUAAUGAAUCUUGUAUGACUAAGUAGCUUUAUAUUUGAAAGUUUUGCAAGUAAAUUAUUUUUAUGUUGAUGUAUUUCUUUCUAUUUGUAUUUUGUAAAUGCACAGUAGGUUCCAAUUUAUGUUGUCCUGGGUAUUUUUUUUUCUAGUUUUGCGCAGAAACAAAUAGAAAUAUAAAAUUUAAUUAAUUAUAUGUAUUUAAAAAUAAAAUAUAAUAUUUUAUUUCAUUUUGUUUGCAACCCUCAUCCAAUAAAAUGUAAAUCAUGAUUUUAAACC